CCGCUGACCACAUGUGAGUAUUGUUUCCUUUAAUUCCAAGGGUAGGUUCCACAUGUGAGUGGCAUAUGCACAAAAUGACAACUAUGUCCAGGAAAUGUCUCGAUAACGAUCAAACCCCUUUGACCGGAUGAAAACGGCGCGAAAGGGGUAUUUCCCUAACGCCAUCUAACGAAAAAGGGACAAAGUUAAGCAUUACUUUUUUAGGGAUAAAGAUGAGCUCGGACCAAAGUUAGGGGGUGGAAUUGGUCCAAAUAUUUUCUACCAAAAAAUUUGAAAGCUUCCACCUCGACAUUCGUUCUACCAUAUUUCAUGUUUCAAAUCAAAAUAUGUAGCUUAUGACUUGGUAUAGUUUCGCUUUUGAAAGCUUUGUAAAUUUGUGUAAUAUAGCUCAACUAAAUGGAGAAUACUACUCCUGUAAGCUGGAAGAGAAUCACUUUCCACAUUUUGUCUCCCACGUGAGCGUGUGUGGUCAUAAUGUGCC
rnacentral:lncRNA from 1 species